AUACGGCCCCCAUUGUCCUUUUAAGGGAGAAAGGCCCGCGCGGGAAGCCUGGGAGGAGGGACGGGGCCGCUUGUGACGUCACCCACCCCGCCCCUCUCCUCCAGCUGGGGAUCGGAGCCGGUGGAACAACGGACGCCGCGGUCCCUGCCCGGCUCGCUGCUCCCGGCGGGGGAGGAGCGGGCUAGGCGCAGCACGGCGAAGGACUCGGCACGGGUGAGGCGCCUCCGUGGGCAGGGAUCCAGGUGCCCCUUGCGCCCUAGGCUCGGCGUGCCCGGUUCCUCAAGGAAUAUGUCAGUGUUAACAAAACAGAAGAGGAUUUGUCAGAGAAGGAUUUUCAGAUCCAGCAUGGAAGUCCUUGUCUGUGAAACAGAAAAAUCUCAGAAGAGCCCAGUGCUUAGGGCAUUCGCUGUGGAUGGAUGUGGAAGACUCAAGUUCAAGAGUCAAUCAGGGAGAGUUGGACUAUUAAUCUGGAUCUUCCAUGUCCUUUUUUGUUUUUUUUAAUUUCAUGUCUCAGACCAAAUUAGUUACAUCAGUUCCAAAUGAUGGCACCUCAACAAUGGAAAAGGAAAGAGGUCUGGGUAGGGUAGAGGUAGGGGGUCUUUCUAGCCAUGUGAACAAAAGGUGACUGACUUGGGUAUAUAAAGUAGAUUUGCCUUA